rnacentral:rRNA from 1 species
AUGUCGCUCAAAGGCUAUUACGAAGCCUCGUUGCGUCCGCCGGCCGAGGAUGAUGUGUUUACGGCGGCGGCGGCGGCGACAAAGUGGGACUGGGGGGAAGCCCUCCUGGACCGCGCCGCUUACAUGGUCGACAAGGUAAACCACACCUCCGCCCGCUGUCGAUUCAGGCGGGACGUCCUGGACGAGAGGGAGGUGGAAAUGCGGGUCACCUUGUGCCUCGCCCCGCCGCCUCUCGUCUCCUAUUUCUGCUGCCACGCCUACUACACCGACGACAAAGGAGAAGACAACCGAUUGUUCAUCAGCGAGCCGUCCAUGUUUGCCAUGGAGGGUGACCUUGCACUUAUCACCCUCUGCCACGGGAAAUUCCACCCCUCCGCCAUCAACGGCAACAAGGGCUAUUAUGAAUACUUGGUGUACCAGGCAGGGAAGGAGGAACUCACCCGGCUCCCGCACCCCGACCCCUGGAUGUUGCCAAAUGAGAGAUCCCACUGCUUCAAUUCCACUUCCAUUGCUGUCGUGCCUUACAGCAGCAAAAUUUCUCCCAAGGAUGAUGAUGAUGCCUACAGAAUCGCGGCGCUUGGCAAGGACUUUUUCCACGACUCUGCUAAUGGCCCGCACUACCUGUGCAUCUACGACUCCAAGGCCGGGGCCUGGACCCGCAAGGCAGGUGCUAUUCCACAGCCGCUGCCGCCGCCAUCCGACUUCAUCUCCGACAUGUCCAUCACCAUCGGCGGGAACAGCGGUGGCAUCGUGGGCUGGGUCGACCUCUGGAGUGGCAUGCUCCUCUCCGACGUGCUAGCCGACGACACCCCCUUCCACCAGUUCCGCUAUGUCCCCCUUCCCGAGCCGAGGCAGCCGCCAAAUCGCCUCCCUCUUGCCGUUGACAUUGCAACCGCCUUUAGGGACAUUGUCCUUGUCAAAGAGACUGGCAUCAUCAGGUUCGUCGACCUUCAGGUCCACGGCGAACCCGGCAACCCUUUCUCAGAAACCCCUAGUGGCUGGACGGUGGUCACAUGGACAAUGGAGGGGCUCCGUAGGGAUUCGGUAACCCUGGGUGAUAUGCGUUUCAAGCUGGAGCAUGAAGUCCAUUCUUGUGAUAUUGAAAACUACGAUUUGCCCAAAUCUGUCUUUGUUUCCAACCCCAUUCUCAGCUCCCACAAAGAUGGCAUAUUGUACCUCAGGACCACUGUCAGCAGCAAAACCGACAGGAACUCGCGAGUUAUCGCCGUUGACAUCAAGAAUAAGAAGCUGCUGAAGGUGGGUGAAUUCGAUAUGCGAAGACCCAACACCUACAGGCGCACUACCAUCUCCAGCUAUCUCAAGCCCCCAGUUUCAAAGGAGAAUAUGAAACGAGGAGCUCCAGUGUCUGCGGGAUCCUACUCACGCAAGAGGCCACAGCAGCAGCCUGCCAUCACUAACCCAGCUGAAGGGGGAGAGGGUGAUGCCGGGGAUGCCAUGGACUGGACUCACAGUAGUUGA